CCACCCAGCCCGCCGCCCCCAGCUGUCCGGUGACUCGCCUCACGUGGCGCGCCGGGGGCCAACCAGCUCGCAAGGACUGCAAUGCAAGGACUGGCAGGCAGGCUGCACAAGGCGAGGAAGCAGAAUCCCACAGCCAGUUCCCACCCCUUUUAUGAUGAAAUGUUAUGACAUCAGCAGCCCCACGGCAGGAUAUCAGAGGCAGCAAUUGAAUGAAUGAAUGGGACCGCGGGAGUUUGUGCGACACUGGGAGCUUGAUGGGCUGCCACUGGAACAAAGACAUCAACGCGAGAGAAAUGUUAGAAAUGUCAUUCGUUUUAAACAUAGUUUCUGUUUGUAAACCCCAGCAUCUGCAGUUCCUUGUUUCUCGAAAACUUUGGUGUUGAGUUUACUUUCUAAUAAAAUCAAUGUAGGGCGCUUGUUGAACGCAAGACAGCCGCAGCAAUGACCAGA